GAUUAAGUUAUUAAGGGCGCACGGUGGAUGCCUUGGCACUAGAAGCCGAUGAAGGACGUUACUAACGACGAUAUGCUUUGGGGAGCUGUAAGUAAGCUUUGAUCCAGAGAUUUCCGAAUGGGGAAACCCAGCAUGAGUUAUGUCAUGUUAUCGAUAUGUGAAUACAUAGCAUAUCAGAAGGCACACCCGGAGAACUGAAACAUCUUAGUACCCGGAGGAAGAGAAAGAAAAUUCGAUUCCCUUAGUAGCGGCGAGCGAAACGGGAAGAGCCCAAACCAACAAGCUUGCUUGUUGGGGUUGUAGGACACUCUAUACGGAGUUACAAAGGACGACAUUAGACGAAUCAUCUGGAAAGAUGAAUCAAAGAAGGUAAUAAUCCUGUAGUCGAAAAUGUUGUCUCUCUUGAGUGGAUCCUGAGUACGACGGAGCACGUGAAAUUCCGUCGGAAUCUGGGAGGACCAUCUCCUAAGGCUAAAUACUCUCUAGUGACCGAUAGUGAACCAGUACCGUGAGGGAAAGGUGAAAAGCACCCCGGAAGGGGAGUGAAAUAGAACCUGAAACCGUGUGCUUACAAGUAGUCAGAGCCCGUUAAUGGGUGAUGGCGUGCCUUUUGUAGAAUGAACCGGCGAGUUACGAUUUGAUGCAAGGUUAAGCAGUAAAUGUGGAGCCGUAGCGAAAGCGAGUCUGAAUAGGGCGUUUAGUAUUUGGUCGUAGACCCGAAACCAGGUGAUCUACCCUUGGUCAGGUUGAAGUUCAGGUAACACUGAAUGGAGGACCGAACCGACUUACGUUGAAAAGUGAGCGGAUGAACUGAGGGUAGCGGAGAAAUUCCAAUCGAACCUGGAGAUAGCUGGUUCUCUCCGAAAUAGCUUUAGGGCUAGCCUCAAGUGAUGAUUAUUGGAGGUAGAGCACUGUUUGGACGAGGGGCCCCUCUCGGGUUACCGAAUUCAGACAAACUCCGAAUGCCAAUUAAUUUAACUUGGGAGUCAGAACAUGGGUGAUAAGGUCCGUGUUCGAAAGGGAAACAGCCCAGACCACCAGCUAAGGUCCCAAAAUAUAUGUUAAGUGGAAAAGGAUGUGGCGUUGCCCAGACAACUAGGAUGUUGGCUUAGAAGCAGCCAUCAUUUAAAGAGUGCGUAAUAGCUCACUAGUCGAGUGACACUGCGCCGAAAAUGUACCGGGGCUAAACAUAUUACCGAAGCUGUGGAUUGUCCUUUGGACAAUGGUAGGAGAGCGUUCUAAGGGCGUUGAAGCAUGAUCGUAAGGACAUGUGGAGCGCUUAGAAGUGAGAAUGCCGGUGUGAGUAGCGAAAGACGGGUGAGAAUCCCGUCCACCGAUUGACUAAGGUUUCCAGAGGAAGGCUCGUCCGCUCUGGGUUAGUCGGGUCCUAAGCUGAGGCCGACAGGCGUAGGCGAUGGAUAACAGGUUGAUAUUCCUGUACCACCUAUAAUCGUUUUAAUCGAUGGGG
rnacentral:rRNA from 1 species